AAUGCUUGUGUUUCUAGCUCCAACAGUGCAGUAAUAUCUAACUAAAUGCUUGUGUUUCUAGCUCCAACAGUGCAGUAAUAUCUAACUAAAUGCUUGUGUUUCUAGCUCCAACAGUGCAGUAGUAUCUAACUAAAUGCUUGUGUUCCUAGCUCCAACAGUGCAGUAGUAUCUAACUAAAUGCUUGUGUUUCUAGCUCCAACAGUGCAGUAAUAUCUAACUAAAUGCUUGUGUUCCUAGCUCCAACAGUGCAGUAAUAUCUAACUAAAUGCUUGUGUUCCUAGCUCCAACAGGGCAGUAAUAUCUAACUAAAUGCUUGUGUUCCUAGCUCCAACAGUGCAGUAGUAUCUAACUAAAUGCUUGUGUUUCUAGCUCCAACAGUGCAGUAGUAUCUAACAAUUCACAACAAUACACAGAUCUAAAAGUAAAAUAAUGGUAUAUAUAUAUAUAUAUAUACCCCAACAGUGGGGGUAACUAUAUAUAUAUAUAUAUAUAUAUAUAUAAGGAUCAAUGUCGGAAUGGCAUUGACUAAAAUACAGUAUAAUAUAGUAUUUACACAUGAGAUGAGUAAAGCAGUAUGUACACAUUAUUAAAGUGGUCAGUGAUUCCUUAUCUAUGUCUAUAGGGCAGCAGCCUCUAAGGUGCAGGGUUGAGUAGCCGAGUGGUACCUGAUGACUUUGAGAUAGAAGCUGUUUUUCAGUCUCUCGGUCCCAGCUUUGAUGCACCCGUCAAGGGCUACAAUGAAAGUGUGUUCUGUUGGAGGUACUGAAGGACCAGGGAUGGGGAACACUGUUGGGGUACUGGAGGACCAGGGAUGGGGAACACUGUUGGGGUUACUGGAGGACCAGGGAUGGGGAACACUGUUGGGGUACUGGAGGACCAGGGAUGGGGAACACUGUUGGGGUACUGGAGGACCAGGGAUGGGGAUGGGGAACACUGUUGGGGUUACUGGAGGACCAGGGAUGGGGAACACUGUUGGGGUACUGGAGGACCAGGGAUGGGGAACACUGUUGGGGUACUGGAGGACCAGGGAUGGGGAUGGGGAACACU
rnacentral:lncRNA from 13 species